rnacentral:siRNA from 1 species
GUGGGCUGAUGAUGUUCUUAGUA